rnacentral:rRNA from 1 species
UACGAAGGGGGCUAGCGUUGUUCGGAUUUACUGGGCGUAAAGCGCACGUAGGCGGAUCGUUAAGUCGGGGGUGAAAUCCUGGAGCUCAACUCCAGAACUGCCUUCGAUACUGGCGAUCUUGAGUCCGGAAGAGGUGAGUGGAACUCCUAGUGUAGAGGUGGAAUUCGUAGAUAUUAGGAAGAACACCGGUGGCGAAGGCGGCCCACUGGUCCGGUACUGACGCUGAGGUGCGAGAGCGUGGGGAGCAAACAGG